AUCCAGCUGACGAGUCCCAAAUUGGACCAAAUGCGCGUCCUGGAU
rnacentral:hammerhead_ribozyme from 1 species